rnacentral:rRNA from 1 species
GAUGAACGCUGGCGGCGUGCCUAAUACAUGCAAGUCGAGCGAACGGACGAGAAGCUUGCUUCUCUGAUGUUAGCGGCGGACGGGCGAGUAACACGUGGAUAACCUACCUAUAAGACUGGGAUAACUUCGGGAAACCGGAGCUAAUACCGGAUAAUAUUUUGAACCGCAUGGUUCAAAAGUGAAAGACGGUCUUGCUGUCACUUAUAGAUGGAUCCGCGCUGCAUUAGCUAGUUGGUAAGGUAACGGCUUACCAAGGCAACGAUGCAUAGCCGACCUGAGAGGGUGAUCGGCCACACUGGAACUGAGACACGGUCCAGACUCCUACGGGAGGCAGCAGUAGGGAAUCUUCCGCAAUGGGCGAAAGCCUGACGGAGCAACGCCGCGUGAGUGAUGAAGGUCUUCGGAUCGUAAAACUCUGUUAUUAGGGAAGAACAUAUGUGUAAGUAACUGUGCACAUCUUGACGGUACCUAAUCAGAAAGCCACGGCUAACUACGUGCCAGCAGCCGCGGUAAUACGUAGGUGGCAAGCGUUAUCCGGAAUUAUUGGGCGUAAAGCGCGCGUAGGCGGUUUUUUAAGUCUGAUGUGAAAGCCCGCGGCUCAACCGUGGAGGGUCAUUGGAAACUGGAAAACUUGAGUGCAGAAGAGGAAAGUGGAAUUCCAUGUGUAGCGGUGAAAUGCGCAGAGAUAUGGAGGAACACCAGUGGCGAAGGCGACUUUCUGGUCUGUAACUGACGCUGAUGUGCGAAAGCGUGGGGAUCAAACAGGAUUAGAUACCCUGGUAGUCCACGCCGUAAACGAUGAGUGCUAAGUGUUAGGGGGUUUCCGCCCCUUAGUGCUGCAGCUAACGCAUUAAGCACUCCGCCUGGGGAGUACGACCGCAAGGUUGAAACUCAAAGGAAUUGACGGGGACCCGCACAAGCGGUGGAGCAUGUGGUUUAAUUCGAAGCAACGCGAAGAACCUUACCAAAUCUUGACAUCCUUUGACAACUCUAGAGAUAGAGCUUUCCCCUUCGGGGGACAAAGUGACAGGUGGUGCAUGGUUGUCGUCAGCUCGUGUCGUGAGAUGUUGGGUUAAGUCCCGCAACGAGCGCAACCCUUAAGCUUAGUUGCCAUCAUUAAGUUGGGCACUCUAAGUUGACUGCCGGUGACAAACCGGAGGAAGGUGGGGAUGACGUCAAAUCAUCAUGCCCCUUAUGAUUUGGGCUACACACGUGCUACAAUGGACAAUACAAAGGGCAGCGAAACCGUGAGGUCAAGCAAAUCCCAUAAAGUUGUUCUCAGUUCGGAUUGUAGUCUGCAACUCGACUACAUGAAGCUGGAAUCGCUAGUAAUCGUAGAUCAGCAUGCUACGGUGAAUACGUUCCCGGGUCU